UUCGUUCCUUUGGGGACAGAGGAUGCAAUUGAGGGUUUCCGCUAAAGCGUGAGCUUCAACCACAAGGGCCGAUGAGGCAGCUACAGAUCUCGCGCCACCGCUGACCAAUUGGUCGACCGAAUCACGACAAACCCACGCUAUCGAGCCUUCCGACGCUCUAGGUACGUAAGUCCCAUCAAUAUUUACCUUAAAGUUGCGAUUUUUGGGAGCUUUCCAGGAAGUUGAGGGGUUUCCUUCUUCGGAUCCAGAUCUGCUAGCUUUUCCGUUCCAUUUUUUAAAGCUUUUCAGCGAGAUGAGGGCCGUCUCAACAACCUUGUCGGGGUUGGUUGGCUUUUGAUUGAAAAUAGCUGUAUUUCGUGUUUUCCACACACUCCACAAAACCGAGGCUACCUUAGCCAGAUCUAGUGCGUUUUUCCUGUGCUUCGAUAAGGGGGCUCGGGUGGCU